AUCGUGUCGCCCCCUACCAUUCCUCCCUAAGUGGAUGUUUGGUGUGGGGGCGGAGAUUGGUCUCCCAUUUCUUUGACAUGGUUGGCCAAAAUAGGAGUCCCGCUCGAUGGACGCACGACUAGUGGUGGUUGAACAAACCCUCGUCAUGUGUUGUGCGUCUCGAGUCGUAAGGGAAUAACUCUUUAAAGACCCCAAC
rnacentral:misc_RNA from 1 species